AACGAACGCUGGCGGCAUGCCUAUCACAUGCAAGUCGAACGAGACCUUCGGGUCUAGUGGCGCACGGGUGCGUAACGCGUGGGAACCUGCCCUUAGGUUCGGAAUAACUCCCCGAAAGGGGUGCUAAUACCGGAUAAUGUCUUCGGACCAAAGAUUUAUCGCCUUUGGAUGGGCCCGCGUUGGAUUAGCUAGUUGGUAGGGUAAAAGCCUACCAAGGCGACGAUCCAUAGCUGGUCUGAGAGGAUGAUCAGCCACACUGGGACUGAGACACGGCCCAGACUCCUACGGGAGGCAGGAGUGGGGAAUAGUGGACAAUGGGCGGAAGCCUGAUCCAGCAAUGCCGCGUGAGUGAUGAAGGCCUUAGAGUUGUAAAGCUCUUUUACCCGGGCUGAUAAUGACAGUACCGGGAGAAUAAGCUCCGGCUAACUCCGUG
rnacentral:rRNA from 1 species